AAUAAGUGUUUUAUGGCACUUCUUAAAUCCAUAUCCACCUUGUGUGCAAUGUCAAUUCUCUGUUGCAGAAUGUUUGUUCUUCGGAAUGUAUGUUCUACAGAGGAUUUAUAUAUACCCUUAUAUCUUUAACUAGUUUGUCUGAAUACUUUGUAUGAAUACUUAAUUCAAAAUACAACUUUCAACAACGGAUCUCUUGGCUCU
rnacentral:misc_RNA from 1 species